rnacentral:rRNA from 1 species
GACGAACGCUGGCGGCGUGCUUAACACAUGCAAGUCGAACGGAAAGGCCCUGCUUUUGUGGGGUGCUCGAGUGGCGAACGGGUGAGUAACACGUGAGUAACCUGCCCUUGACUUUGGGAUAACUUCAGGAAACUGGGGCUAAUACCGGAUAGGAGCUCCUGCUGCAUGGUGGGGGUUGGAAAGUUUCGGCGGUUGGGGAUGGACUCGCGGCUUAUCAGCUUGUUGGUGGGGUAGUGGCUUACCAAGGCUUUGACGGGUAGCCGGCCUGAGAGGGUGACCGGCCACAUUGGGACUGAGAUAGGGCCCAGAAUCCUACGGGAGGCAGCAGUGGGGAAUAUUGCACAAUGGGCGGAAGCCUGAUGCAGCAACGCCGCGUGCGGGAUGACGGCCUUCGGGUUGUAAACCGCUUUCGACUGUGACGAAGCGUGAGUGACGGUAAUGGGUAAAGAAGCACCGGCUAACUACGUG